AAGAUGGGCUCAUGUCAAUUUUGUACAUGAUUUCAAAUAGAUGCGAGCCAAUUGAAUGAUGAAAAUUGCUGAAUGAUAUAGUGGGCGUAACAGCUGAGUAGCUAAAUUGCUAAACUAAUUAAAUUACAGUUCCGAAUGUCCCGAGUCAAAUAGUUAUAUGACUUUUUAACAGACAAAACAAAACAUCAUAUGGUAACUUGAUAAUUGAUAUUUUAAUUUUCAGUAAAACAUAUGAGUAACAAUACACGUAUGCCAUUUAAGCGAAAAAAUAAAAGGGAAAAAUAUUACAAGCUAACGCGAAAUUUAAAAAAAUAAUUGCCAAACGUUUACUAUUAAGCCCUGAUUUCCUUUGACCAAAGAUAUUUUAACAUAGUUUU